GCACAACGCGAAGAACCUUACCCACCUUCGACAUGUACGGAAUCCUUUAGAGAUAGAGGAGUGCUCGAAAGAGAGCCGUAACACAGGUGCUGCAUGGCUGUCGUCAGCUCGUGUCGUGAGAUGUUGGGUUAAGUCCCGCAACGAGCGCAACCCUUGCCAUUAGUUGCUACGAAAGGGCACUCUAAUGGGACUGCCGGUGACAAACCGGAGGAAGGCGGGGAUAACGUCAAGUCCUCAUGGCCCUUAUAGGUGGGGCUACACACGUCAUACAAUGGCUGGUACAAAGGGUUGCCAACCCGCGAGGGGGAGCUAAUCCCAUAAAGCCAGUCGUAGUCCGGAUCGCAGUCUGCAACUCGACUGCGUGAAGUCGGAAUCGCUAGUAAUCGUGGAUCAGAAUGUCACGGUGAAUACGUUCCCGGGUCUUGUACACACCG
rnacentral:rRNA from 1 species